GACGUAGGGGGCAAGCGUUGUUCGGAAUUAUUGGGCGUAAAGCGCUCGUAGGCGGGACAGGAAGUUCGUGUUGAAAGACCUCGGCUCAACUGAGGGACCGGCUCGAAUACUCUUGUUCUUGAGGCAAUCAGAGGGUGAUGGAAUUCCCGGUGUAGCGGUGAAAUGCAUAGAUAUCGGGAGGAACACCAGUGGCGAAGGCGAUCACCUGGGGUUGUUCUGACGCUGAGGAGCGAAAGCUAGGGGAGCAAACGGG
rnacentral:rRNA from 1 species